rnacentral:rRNA from 1 species
AGCGAACGCUGGCGGCAGGCCUAACACAUGCAAGUCGAGCGGACGUAGCAAUACGUCAGCGGCAGACGGGAGAGUAACACGUGGGAACGCGCCCUUCGGUUCGGAAUAACCCAGGGAAACUUGGGCUAAUACCGAAUACGCCCUUACGGGGAAAGAUUCAUUGCCGAAGGAACGGCCCGCGUCCGAUUAGCUUGUUGGUGAGGUAACGGCUCACUAAGGCGACGAUCGGUAGCUGGUCUGAGAGGAUGACCAGCCUCACUGGGACUGAGACACGGCCCAGACUCCUACGGGAGGCAGCAGUGGGGAAUAUUGGACAAUGGGCGCAAGCCUGAUCCAGCCAUGCCGCGUGGGUGAUGAAGGCCCUAGGGUUGUAAAGCCCUUUCGGCGGGGAAGAUAAUGACGGUACCCGCAGAAGAAGCCCCGGCUAACUUCGUGCCAGCCGCCGCAGUAAUAC